CUCAGGCACAAGAUCACUUUUUUACAGUUGAGGUCAGACACAAUCAGACGAUCAUCUCACACUUUCAGAGGCAUCUGUGAUUUUAAGGCGAGACACUGCAGUUUAGCUCAAUGGCAUCCCGGCCACGUACGUACAGCAUCAUCCCUCUCAUUCCCUCAGCUCCGCAGGCCUGCAUGGAUGCUUUUGUGUCGGCCUUGUGGUCGACAGUCUUCCCAGGACAGGUGUUUGGACCGGACGACAUGCUGGAGAACUACUAUUUCACCUUGUCCAUCUGGCCAGAGGAGGCCACCCAGCUGAUCUGUCCCUAUUAUUUCGACCAGGUCACCUACACUCUUCCUAGCAGGGACCAAGUGACACCCAUGGGGAACUACAACCUCCAGUUGCCGUACUGCAGCUCGUGGACCAACCUGGAGGCAGAGAGGCAGCGGAGGCCCCAGACUUGAGAAGUGCGUCCGAACACCGGCAUCCAUCUGACCCGACUCUGUCAACUCCAGUGUGACUGCAGUCCAACCGCAGACCAGUACGCUUAUCUCAUGUACGGCUGCCGAGUGUGUCCAGUUUGUCUCUCAGCUACUAAUAAAUC
ensembl:lncRNA